AGAGUUUGAUCAUGGCUCAGAACGAACGCUGGCGGCAUGCCUAACACAUGCAAGUCGAACGCCCCGCAAGGGGAGUGGCGCACGGGUGAGUAACGCGUGGGAACCUGCCCCGGAGUGUGGGAUAACCCGGCGAAAGCCGGGCUAAUACCGCAUACGGCCUAUGGGCGAAAGAUUUAUCGCUCUGGGAGGGGCCCGCGUCGGAUUAGCUAGUUGGUGAGGUAACGGCUCACCAAGGCGAUGAUCCGUAGCUGGUCUGAGAGGAUGAUCAGCCACACUGGGACUGAGACACGGCCCAGACUCCUACGGGAGGCAGCAGUGGGGAAUAUUGGACAAUGGGGGCAACCCUGAUCCAGCAAUGCCGCGUGAGUGAUGAAGGCCUUAGGGUUGUAAAGCUCUUUCGGCGGGGACGAUGAUGACGGUACCCGCAGAAGAAGCCCCGGCUAACUUCGUGCCAGCAGCCGCGGUAAUAC
rnacentral:rRNA from 1 species